UUCUGGGAGGAUUGACAGAUCCAGAGCUCUUUCUUGAUUCUGUGGAUUUCGGUGCAUGUCCGUUCUUAGUUGUUAAAGUGGUUUGUCUGGUUAAUUCCGAUAACAAACGAGACUCUAGUCAAUCAAAUACGUGCGUGGUCCUUUGCACCUUGCACCCUCCUUAGAAGGAGAAGCGGCUCCCAUACUUCGUCUCUCCUUAUUAUAUAUAUAUGGCCUACUGUUAGCCGCGCGUGCUCAAAGCGCGAGCUAGUCGCUUUGAAUGAAGUCACGGCGGCUACACGAGCGCUCGUGCAGCGAGGGCUCUAGUCAAGGCAGUCAAGGCUGGCCGCUCGCGCUAACACAGCCUUCGCGGUUAGUUCAUGCUAGGGUGAGACGAAGUAUUAGCGAUGUGCGGGGCCAAAAGCGUCGCUGUGGUCAGCUUUCCACGAUUGGUCGAACCAUGGGCAUAUGAGCACUGUCAGAUUGUCAACUUUGACGGUGUUAGUUUCGGAUUGCGAUGGCUCCUAGCUUCUACUGUGCUUUUUAAACACACCAUUGAAGUCGUCGUCCUACCCGAUGGUAAGUAGCCAGAAUAACAACUGGUGACGUCAC
rnacentral:rRNA from 1 species